rnacentral:rRNA from 1 species
UACAUGCAAGUCGAGCGGACAGAUGGGAGCUUGCUCCCUGAUGUUAGCGGCGGACGGGUGAGUAACACGUGGGUAACCUGCCUGUAAGACUGGGAUAACUCCGGGAAACCGGGGCUAAUACCGGAUGGUUGUUUGAACCGCAUGGUUCAAACAUAAAAGGUGGCUUCGGCUACCACUUACAGAUGGACCCGCGGCGCAUUAGCUAGUUGGUGAGGUAACGGCUCACCAAGGCAACGAUGCGUAGCCGACCUGAGAGGGUGAUCGGCCACACUGGGACUGAGACACGGCCCAGACUCCUACGGGAGGCAGCAGUAGGGAAUCUUCCGCAAUGGACGAAAGUCUGACGGAGCAACGCCGCGUGAGUGAUGAAGGUUUUCGGAUCGUAAAGCUCUGUUGUUAGGGAAGAACAAGUACCGUUCGAAUAGGGCGGUACCUUGACGGUACCUAACCAGAAAGCCACGGCUAACUACGUGCCAGCAGCCGCGGUAAUACGUAGGUGGCAAGCGUUGUCCGGAAUUAUUGGGCGUAAAGGGCUCGCAGGCGGUUUCUUAAGUCUGAUGUGAAAGCCCCCGGCUCAACCGGGGAGGGUCAUUGGAAACUGGGGAACUUGAGUGCAGAAGAGGAGAGUGGAAUUCCACGUGUAGCGGUGAAAUGCGUAGAGAUGUGGAGGAACACCAGUGGCGAAGGCGACUCUCUGGUCUGUAACUGACGCUGAGGAGCGAAAGCGUGGGGAGCGAACAGGAUUAG